UACAGAGGGUGCGAGCGUUAAUCGGAAUUACUGGGCGUAAAGCGUGCGCAGGCGGUUUUGUAAGUCUGUCGUGAAAUCCCCGGGCUCAACCUGGGAAUUGCGAUGGAGACUGCAAGGCUAGAAUCUGGCAGAGGGGGGUAGAAUUCCACGUGUAGCAGUGAAAUGCGUAGAGAUGUGGAGGAACACCGAUGGCGAAGGCAGCCCCCUGGGUCAAGAUUGACGCUCAUGCACGAAGGCGUGGGGAGCAAACAGG
rnacentral:rRNA from 1 species